rnacentral:lncRNA from 1 species
UCCGGGCUAGAAGCGAUGCGUGUGCCCGUCGCCCGUUUGCCGACCAGUAGUAGGGGGCCUCGUCCCCCCGGAGGUACAUGCCGUUGGUGACCCCUGCGGGGUGGACGAGCCUCGCGGGACGCCUUGAAGCGCUAUUCCCCACUGGGCGGCGAGUAGAAUCCUUUGCAGACGACUUAAAUACGCGACGGGGUAUUGUAAGUGGCAGAGUGGCCUUGCUGC